GGCGGCCGUUCUAGCCGGAGCCGUCUCUAUGGCCGCCGCGUUUUGCGAUGUUUAUUGUCGCGGGGACAGGGCCCGGGACCCGGAACAACAAAGAGCGAGAGCGACGGGGCGCGUAGCAACCGGGCCGCGCGCGGCGGAGCCGGGGACACUCAACCGCCGGCCCACGCGAAUGUGAUCUUCAUGGUGUGCUGGUGGGGAAUUUGAGUUUUCAACCACCCCAAUGGAUGCAGACAGUGAUGUUGCAUUGGACAUUUUAAUCACAAAUGUAGUGUGUGUUUUUAGAACAAGAUGUCAUUUAAACUUGAGGAAGAUUGCAUUAGAGGGAGCAAAUGUGAUCUACAAGCGUGAUGUUGGGAAAGUAUUAAUGAAGCUUAGGAAACCUAGGAUUACGGCCACAAUUUGGUCCUCAGGAAAAGUUAUUUGCACAGGAGCCACAAGUGAAGAAGAAGCUAAAUUUGGUGCCAGACGUUUAGCUCGUACUUUGCAAAAACUAGGUUUUCAGGUAAUUUUCACAGAUUUUAAGGUUGUCAAUGUUUUAGCAGUGUGCAACAUGCCCUUUGAAAUCAGAUUGCCAGAAUUUACGAAGAAUAAUAGACCUCAUGCUAGUUAUGAACCGGAGCUUCAUCCUGCAGUGUGCUACAGAAUAAAACCUCUCAGAGCUACCUUACAGAUUUUUUCAACAGGAAGUAUCACAGUAACGGGUACUUUAUGAUGCCAAAAUAAAUAUUUAACUUACUUUCUUUCAUGGGAGUUCAGUUAGACUUUGAAAGCAACAGAGAGACAGGGCCAAACGUAAAGGCUGUUGCCAGUGCUGUGGAACAGAUUUACCCAUUCGUGUUUGAAAGCAGGAAAGAAAUUUUAUAAUUCACCACUUAAUGGUUAGGUUCCCUAACCAAGCACCUUUAAAGACUGCUGCACAUUGGACUAAAAGCAAAAAAAGGAAAACUGGACCAACAAUAGCUGAGGAAAUACAGACUCUUUUACUUGUUCAUGGCCACAGUGUAAACUCCAGUCCCUUUGGAUUUUAUUUUGAACAGUGCUGUAUUGUAAAAACAAAAGUUUACAAGAUAUGAAAUUGCUGCUUUUAAAAAGACGUUCUAUUUAUUUUUGCAGUAAUUUCUGUGUAUUCAUAAGUGAACCUGUCACGAUGUGCACUACCUUUCAAACAUUUUUUUAGUUUGAGCUUGUGUUUUAUUUGUGAAUAGUCUUUUACAUUUUUGUAUGCUGAAUAUUGGGCACCAAAGAAGCUGUAAAAGUUACCUUUUUCACUUGAUGAAUGUGCACAAAUAAAAAUUUGGAAAAUAUCUCUCUUAAUACCUGUUGUUAUAUUCCUUUCCCCUUUUUCUAUUACAAUUAAAAUUGUAUAGUUGCAAACUAAUUUGGAAACAAUGUAAGUGUAGUCUUUUGCUGAUACUUUUGUUCCUAGUUGUAGUGUGUGUGUAUAAAGUAAUAUGCAGAGGUCUAGACUGAAAUCAGUGGUAGUUGCAUACGUGUAUCAGAGGGCAGAAGUUGGUUUGUUAUAUUCUUAGUUCUCUUAACUAAAUGCCAGAUUUUAACAGUUUUUUUGCUGUCGUGUUGAAGAGAAUAUGCUUCUAAGCAUAAUGGCCGAUGAGCUUUCAUCUUUAGGUGACGGGAAAAGCUUACAUUCUGAAGAAGCCUCAGUAGAAAAGACAAGCAACCCUUGUCUACUGGUUGGAUGUGAAGAAGGAGCCAUUGCAUGAGCCCGUUCUUGGUGACUGACUGAAGGAAAGAUCAUCUUCUUGGAGCCGAAGCGAAGCAAUGUAUUUACCAUGCUAUUUCUGAAGACUAACCAAGUCCUGUGUCCUAUUGGUACUGUAUAAUAGUAUUAUCCUGACAAGAACUGCCAACAAGCAACAGAGCUUGGCUCUGGCAUGUAAUUUCAUUGGUUUUAAUUUUGGACUUGAAAGCCAGUAUUUAUCCUCUUAACACAUGCACAUAUGGAACACAAGAGGGGUGAAUACUUAAAGUAAAUGAAAAUGUUACUUUUAAAAGUGACAAUAAAUAUGUAUAAAUGUAUAUAUGUCUAUUUUCCCCUGUCUGAACCUUCAGAAAUUAACACAAAGUGCAUAUUUGGUGCCGCAGGUAGUGUACAACCUUAACUUGAGUCAUAAAAAAAUAUACUGUGAACUUUCAUAGUACAUGAAAUCCAUAAAUGUGAAACAAAAAUAGAGCACCCUAAAGAAAUCAUAGCUAAAGCACAGCAGCCUACCCUUUAUACGUGCAUGUAAGGAAGAAAUGGAAGGAGUUGGGAACAGCCAUUGUGUCUUCAUGGGGAAAUGGCAGAGGAAGGGAAACAAACAGUAAAUAUACAGUCAAGGUUGGUAGAGGAAAAGAAUAUCCAUCAGUCAAAAGGCAGAAUCAGUUACUGGUAGCCAAAGGCAUUAAGUGAAAUAAGAAUGGUUUUUAUAGUUGUAUCACUGAAGGUGGUGUGUGAGGGUAGGGAGAGCAUGUCUGGCCUUCAAUAAAAGUGAGAAACUAAACAGUCUAAAAUCACUGAGAAACAUUUUUAAAAUUUAUCUUUAAGCAGAUGAAAAGAGAAAUAUGUCUACAGAUAUUGGUUAAAAGACAGUUAAAGGAAUACUUGCAAACACAAAUUGGCAUGUUUGUAUAAUAUCUUAUGGAUUCUAAAGUGUCCUGAACCAGUGGGAGUUAUUUGAAAAGUCAUGGAGAACAACGGCGGUAACAAGAUGAGGGAGGAAGGGGGAAGCAAAUGUGGUAGCCAAUCUUGUUCGUUACUGUUAAGUAAAUGUGCCUAAUAAAAUUAUGUAUCAUCUGU